UACGUAGGGGGCAAGCGUUGUCCGGAAUCAUUGGGCGUAAAGCGCGUGUAGGCGGUUCGAUAAGUCUGCUGUGAAAGUCCAGGGCUCAACCCUGGAAAGCCGGUGGAUACUGUCGGACUAGAGUACGGAAGAGGCGAGUGGAAUUCCCGGUGUAGCGGUGAAGUGCGCAGAUAUCGGGAGGAACACCAAUUGCGAAGGCAGCUCGCUGGGACGUCACUGACGCUGAGACGCGAAAGCGUGGGGAGCAAACAGG
rnacentral:rRNA from 1 species